ACACACACACACCUUUGAUAUUUCUUAAUGAACUCCUUUCUUUCUAUUCAAGAACGUAGUGAAUGACGCGCAAUAAUAAUCUGACCUUUCUUCAUUUAUUUUUCCUACAUUAUUUUUUUUUUCAGCGUUCCAUUCAUAUUUUCUUUUAUUAAUACUUCAAGCGACGCGACAUAAUCUGACCCUUAGUUUUUUUUUUUCUCAUUUAUUUUCUUUUUCAUUCUUCAUUCAGAUUUUAUUUUAUACUUUCCUUGUAAGAGCGUUAAUGACAAGUACAGUGACCUAACCUCAAUUUGCCCUCAAUUUGUAAGUGUAAAAAAAAAACAAAAAAAAACAGGAGUAUUUAGAAAGGGAAGAAAAUAUAAAAGAAUUUGCUGCUGACACACACACAAAAAGAAACAUUAAAAUAAAAGAGAAAAAAGAAUAAAUUAAAAAAAAAUACAUAAAAAGAAAAUUAAGGAAUUGAAAAAGAAAAGCACAUCAGUAAAAGAAAACAGAAGAAAAAGAAGAAAAUCAUACUUCAAAUCAUUAUAAAAAGAAAAGAACAAGAAAAAAAGGAAAAGAAAAUACAAAAAGACAAAAAACAAAAAACAAAACAAAAAUCACAACUUACCUUAUAAUCCAGCGAAGUGUGGCAACCGUAACAGUAGUAGUAGUAGUAGUAGUAGUAGUAGUAGUAGUAGUAGUAGUAGUGGUGGCAGGAGGUAAAAAGGGCAAAAGAAGGGGGUCAACACAUGGGGGUCAACCUCAAUGUGACCUGCCUGACCUAACAAACACUGGGGGUCGCAUCAGGUCAGGUUAGGUCACACUACAGCCCCCCAUGUGACGCCCCCUCCCCCCUUUGACUAACCUGAUCCCCUCCUGCCUGUCACCUGUCCUGCGCGGUCCGUCCCUGCAGGUAAUGACAAGUAACAAGGUGAGCACAGGUGAAGGCAAUAAUGAGUAAGGUAUUGAAAGGUAAAGGUAAUUAUUAAAACAGGUAACAAUGGAGCACAGGUAUAGGUGAUUGGUAAGGUAAUGAAAGGUAAUCGUAAUGAGAACAUGAAAUAAUGGGGUGAAUUUAGGGCAGGCUAUGUUAGGUUAGGUUAGGCUAGGUGAGGUUAGGUUAGGCUAUGUUAGGUUAGGUAAGGCUGUCAGGAUUGGUUAGGCUUUGUUAGGAUAGAUUAGGUUAGCUUAGGCAAGGUUAUGUAUGUCAGGAUAAGUUAGGCAAGGUUAGGUUAGGCUAUGUUAGUUAGGUAAGGCUGUCAGGAUUGGUUAGGCUUUGUUAGGAUAGAUUAGGUUAGCUUAGGCAAGGUUAUGUAUGUCAGGAUAAGUUAGGCAAGGUUAGGUUAGGCUAUGUUAGUUAGGUAAGGCUGUCAGGAUUGGUUAGGCUAUGUUAGGCUAGAUUUGGUUAGCUUAGGCAAGGCUAUGUAUGUCAGGAGAAGUUAGGCAAUGUUAGGCUAUAUAGGGGUGAUAGUCCGCGCGUGGGCGUAAUGCAGCGCGGGUCCCCGGGCACACGUCAGCGCAUUGGUGUCAACGGGUACAGGGCGGCAUGGGGGUGACUUUCAACGUGAUUGGUUCAAGUGUGCCGUUCCCGAUACACUAUAUUUAUGUAACUUCAUUUGUAAGAAGAACAUGCAUGC